rnacentral:tRNA from 1 species
AGGAACUUAGGCUAAUACAGACCAAAGGCCUUCAAAGCCUUAAGUAAAGGUUAAUCCCUUUAGUU